GUUUUCAUUCAAUCCUCACCAACUGCAAACACACUUUUAGGCGAUAACGUGAUUUUUAAUCAUUAUGAAAAUUAAAAAAAAUGGCCAAAACGUAGCAACAGUGGACUCAAAUAAAAUUUCUUCUGCAUAGGUCGAAAAUUGGUAGAGGUCUGAAAUAUGUUUUGCAUUUUUAGGUGUAAAUACGAGCUCUGUGACUGCAUUUUUUGCGAAAGUUAUGGGUGUUUGAAGGUUACGACUUUAAAAAAUGGCAUCGCUGUUUCCCUGCGGUUUCCGUCCAAAAGCAGCCAGAUGUAGGCCCAAAAUGACCUAUAAAAUCAUCCCAUAAAGUUUCGCACAAUCCCCGCGUGGUCACUUUUUGGCCGUUUUGCCACUUUGAAAUAAGGCCUCUUUUCCACUAAAGGUUACGAAAAUAACAUUUUAUGCGCAUAAAAUUGCCAUAUAUACCUACCUGAUUUUCUUUAAGUUGAAAACAUUCAUUUUCGAAUACUUUCUCUUGCUUGAUUAGAUCCCGAUGGUCCGACAUGGAAUAGACCUCGGCAAAAUGAGUGGCAUCAUUGGCUUCUCACAAAUAUUCGCAAAAAUAAGAUAGAGGACGCCGAGUGUAUGUCAGAGUAUAUUGGACCAUUAGCCGGACAGGGAAACCGGCUUCAUCGAUAUAUUUUUAUGGUUUUCCAACAGCCUCCUGUUGGUGACAUAGCAUUUUUAGAGCUGAAUCUUGAUACGAGGUCAGUAGUGCUUCUAAUCCAUACAAUAUUGAUAUAAAAUUUUGAAAAAUAUAUAUGCAAUGGAACAAUCCUAAGACUGGUGCACAAAAUGAAUCCUAGACCAGUAGUACACUUUCGCCUCCUCGGAGUCUGUUAGCGAGAUAGUCGAUGGACACUUUUCAUUCCAUCACUCGACGAACAGUGCUGUCAGAUAAGCUCAACCGUGCGGUCGCAUGCAGUUCAGCGCUCCCCGCUAUCAUUUUUGAUAAUCUUGCUUCGUUUUCAAGUGUUCUUGCUGCCGUGGCAGCUUAGUGCCUAAACGAGAAUUUAACCUAAAAACUCAAAAUCGGUUAAAAUUUAGC
rnacentral:lncRNA from 1 species